GUGAGUAAGUGAAUCAACUCGCCCGGAGCCGAGCAAGUUGAAGUGUCAGAUUACAUUGGCUAUUCUAUUUCCAAAGGGCCCCGCGCCGCCGGCCGCCCGCAAAAGCCGGUGCGGAGUCAGGCCGGAGUGGAGCGCCGCGCCGCGCCGCCGCCGCUGCCGGCGCUCGGCUUGGCUCGCGCUCUGCGCUCUCUUUCCCCUUUCCUUUUCGCCUCUCCUCGUUCUCUCCCUCGCCUUUCCUUUCCUUUCUCUUCCUCUCUUCCUCGCUCCUCGGUCUCGGCGCUCUCCCAGCUUUUCUUCUCCUGGCUCCUGGUUCCCCGCUACGCCACCAGUCCACUCACCUCUCUCCUUGCCCUACUCCCUCCGCUACUCCCUGACGCCCCCUGCAGCCCCCAGCCCCCCUGCAGGCCCCAGCCCCAGUAAGUUUGGAGAGGGGAACAAAUGCUGAGCCUAGGUAGGGACCACCUUGGGGAGGAAGCCAAAAUCACACUGCUCACCCGAGAGCCCCUGCCCCGCGCUGGCACGCCCCCGCCUGGAGUGCACUCGUGGCCCCGGGCGCUGUCAGGUACCCGAAUUGGGGCUGCCACCGUGUCGGAGGCGAGGCGAGGAAGGGAGCUGGAAUAACAAAGGGAGGUAAUGGGGUAGAUUGGAUACCUCUGGGGUCUUGGAAGAAGCUAUGACUUAUUUACUGUCUACUAUGUGCUGAAGCCACUUGCUCAGAGCCGCACAGCAAGCCCACCACCCUGAACCUCCAGAUUACCAACUCAGCAUUGUGUCCUGACAGUGUCAUCAUAGAUGGUCAACACCGUCACCUGGGCAGCACUGAAGCCCAGAGCGGGAGAGACUGGCUCAAGACCAUGGGCCCUGACAUUCUCCAGCUUUCAUGGUGUUCCUGCAAUCCAAGUGCCGCUUAUCUCUCUACAGGUCCACCAGAUGACCGGCUGGCCUCCUAAUUGGGCUUCCUGCAUUCCUGCCUGUGCUCGGAGCUCCCUUCUCCACUUGCCUGCUGGAGGAGGUUUACAAACAAAAUCAGAUCAUGGCACUCCCCUGGGGCCCUGCAUCCUGUGGCCAGCAGGUCUUGGAAACGCCCCUGUACCCCAGAAACUUCCUGAUCAGUCCCUGGUCAGUGUAUAUCAUGCUUCCUGUGACAUGACAUCAACUUUUCAGUGACUUCCACUGGUUUUGGCCCAGCUCGAAGAGCCUGACACCUCUGCAGGGAAUUCUACCAGGGAGCUCAGGAGGGGGAAUUGCACUGAAGAUUUGUCCCAUCGUGAAGCAAGAGCACUGGAACUUACACUCCACCAUCAGGCCCUGUCACAGGAGAACAAAGAAGGAAGGCAGAGGAGAUCAUGCUCCGGCCAGCAGGGAAUCUCCAUUUUUUUCAGCCUCAUACCUUGGAAAGUACAAAGGAGUGAGAGCUGGGACUACCAGCCAGAGGGUUCAUGGAGGUAGUGGGAGGGGAAGAUGGGUUCUGCAUGGAGCCACUCCAGGGACUUUUCUUCUGUCUCACAGCCUGACAAUCACCUCUAGCUGUUCUCAGUCCCAUUCUCAUCAAUGACCUCGUCUCCUGAUUUUGUACAAUAUCUAGGUGACCUUCUCUUCUUUCCAUCUUCAAACGCUUGAUCAUUGAUGCUCCCUUUUCUCUUCUCUCUCCUCCUGGGAAAAGAGAAGGACCAACAUCCCCCUUUCCCUUCCUCCUGUGCUGUCCCGACCCCUCUGAGACCUGGCUCUAGCAGUAAGUCCCUCUCUCUUCUGCAGCACCAGCCUCUGCCCAUCCCUGCCCUCUGCACACAAAGCUCUCACAUUGUCUGCACUUUAAGAACUUUUGUGGCAAACCCUGGCAAAUCCUGCCACUUGUUUCCACUCUUCUCAAAUGGCUUUGAGGUCAUCAUUGACCUAUCCCAUUUGACCCUGUCCUGUAUCUGAUGUUGUACCCUUUCUCCUUGAUCCCACUCUGGCAACUCUCCCACUCCCCUUUCUUGGAUCAACUGUCUUGCUCCUCAGUCUUGAUCAAUGCCUCCUUCUCUCUCUUUAGCCUUGGCCCUUUUUGGCCAGGGAAAUAAAUGUGAAAUACAUAAAGCUUCAUUUUAUCUUAUGAUUAUAGCUAUGUUGAUGUUACCCAAGACCUAAAAGUCACACUCUCUAAUUACACUUCCCUCCUGUGUUCUGGGUCCUCUUGGACCAGUCCUUACUCUGGCUCCCCUCCUGGAUGUCUCCCAGACUUCUAAUUAGAAUUACUGUUUCCUAUAUCAAGCUAAUUAUCUUUCCCACCAACCUCCUCCAUCCUUGGGUGAAAGCAUCACUUGGUUGCAAAAGUCAGAAAUCUGGGUUUCAUUCUUGCGGUAGGUAGAAUAAUGCCCCCAGGCCCCAGGUUUUGACAUCCGAAUCCCUGGGACUUUGCAGAUGUGAUUCAGUUUAGGAUUUUGAGAUGGGGAGAUUAUCUGGGAGAGCCUGAUGUCAUCAUAAGGUUCUUAUAAGAGGGAGGCAGGAGGGUUAGAGUGAGUAGUAAGAGAUGCAACAGUGGAAGCAAGAGGUUGGGGUGAUGUGGCCACAAGCCCAGGAGUGCUGACAGACAUCAGAAGCUGGAAGGGACAAGGAAUGGUUUCUCCUCUGGAGCCUCCAGAAAGAACCAGCCCUGCUGACACCUUGAUUUUAGCCUUGGAAGACUCAUUUUGGACUUCUGACCUUGAACGUUGUAAGAGAAUAAAUUUACAUAUUUUAAACUGGUA
rnacentral:lncRNA from 1 species